UACAGAGGUCUCAAGCGUUGUUCGGAUUCAUUGGGCGUAAAGCGUGCGUAGGCGGUUUAGUGUGUGGGAUUUGAAAGCCCGGGGCUCAACUCCGGAUCCGGAUCCCAAACUGCUAGACUCGAGCGUAUCAGAGGAGAGCGGAAUUCCCGGUGUAGCGGUAAUAUGCGUAGAUAUCGGGAGGAACACCAGUGGCGAAGGCGGCUCUCUGGGACGGUACUGACGCUGAGACGCGAAAGCGUGGGGAGCGAACAGG
rnacentral:rRNA from 1 species